GGGGCUGUAGCUCAGUUGGGAGAGCGCAUCGUUCGCAAUGAUGAGGUCAGGGGUUCGAUUCCCCUCAGCUCCACCA
rnacentral:tRNA from 27 species